UGUCGAUGAAGAGCGCAGCCAACUGUGUGAAUUAAUGUGAACUGCCUACUGCUUUGAACAUCGACAUCUUGAACGCACAUUGCGGCCAUGGGUUUUCCUGUGGCCACGCCUGUCCGAGGGUCG
rnacentral:rRNA from 2 species